UACGGAGGAUCCGAGCGUUAUCCGGAUUUAUUGGGUUUAAAGGGAGCGUAGGUGGAUUGUUAAGUCAGUUGUGAAAGUUUGCGGCUCAACCGUAAGAUUGCAGUUGAAACUGGCAGUCUUGAGUACAGUAGAGGUGGGCGGAAUUCGUGGUGUAGCGGUGAAAUGCUUAGAUAUCACGAAGAACUCCGAUUGCGAAGGCAGCUCACUGGACUGCAACUGACACUGAGGCUCGAAAGUGUGGGUAUCAAACAGG
rnacentral:rRNA from 1 species